CCAAUAGCGUAUAUUAAAGUUGUUGCAGUUAAAAAGCUCGUAGUUGAAUUUCGGGAUCAAUAUGUCUGUCGUGCCUUCGGUACGUACGGGUAUAAUUGGUUUCUACCUUCUGAUGAACCUUGAUGCCAUUAAUUUGGUGUCUUGGGGACUCAGGACUGUUACCUUGAAAAAAUUAGAGUGUUUAAAGCAGGCAUACGCUUGAAUACAUUAGCAUGGAAUAAUGAAAUAGGACGUUCGAUUCUAUUUUGUUGGUUUCUAGGAUCGACGUAAUGAUUAAUAGGGAUAGUUUGGGGCAUUAGUAUUCAAUUGUCAGAGGUGAAAUUCUUGGAUUUAUUGAAGACUAACUACUGCGAAAGCAUUUGCCAAGGAUGUUUUCAUUAAUCAAGAACGAAAGUUAGGGGAUCGAAGACGAUCAGAUACCGUCGUAGUCUUAACCAUAAACUAUGCCGACUAGGGAUCGGAUGAUGUUAAUUCUUUAAUGACUCAUUCGGCGCCUUACG
rnacentral:rRNA from 1 species